AUGAAUAAAAACGUUCAGACACCAGGCAUCCAUGGUGUGAGGCGGGAAGUCCCCAGGCGCCUGCACAGCCAACCGUACCACCACCUCCCCUCCCUCCCCUCUCCCCUGCUGUCUCACCUUUGCCGCCAGCUUUUUGGGUUUCGGCUCUGCUUUGGCAGGAGCGGGUUUCUGAGGAGACAACAACGCGUCAGGGCCCGGCCGCCAGCAGCCGCCGGCCCUCCCCUCGCCCCUGCAGGGGCUGCCUCCCACCUCGCGCCCCUACUCACAGCAGACAGCCGCGCCGACCGCCUCUUGGGCUGCGGGGAGAGAAGCACAAAGACCCGCGGCGUCAGAGCCGGCACCGCGACCACCCCCCAACCCCGUUCACCCCCCCCAUACACAACUCACCUCCUCCGCGGCCUCCCCUGCGGCCGCGCUCACCUGCCAACACAAACACCGCGCGUCAGGCGCCGGGGGGCGGGGCGCGGCCACACGUCACGUGACACCGCCCCCCCCUCACCCCCGUUACCCCCCCUCACACACACACACCCUCCCCCUCUCCCCGGGCCCACUANNNNNNNNNNNNNNNNNNNNNNNNNNGGGGGGGGGGGGGGGUUGGGGUCGCUCCGCUCCUCCCUCAGCCGCCUCUCCGCGCCCCGCAGCCCCCCCCCAGCCCUUUUCUCCCCCCCCCAUCGCUUCACCUUUCUCUUCGGCAUGGCUCCAGCCGCAGCCCCGCGGUGCCCGCUCCCUCCCUCCCUCCCUUAUUCUUUCGUUCCCCUUCCCCGCUGCGCGCCGGGUGCCUCACGGCGAGCCGCUGCGGCCGCCCGCCCGCCAGCCGCGCCGCGCAGGGAAGCCGCCCCCCCCCAUCCCAGCAGCGCCAGCGGCGCCGCAACAGGAUCCAGCCGGAUUGGAGGCGGCGGCAGGAGGCAGGCGGGUAGGUCGGGGGGGGGGGGUAAGGAGGAGGGGGGCGCCCCGCUCCGCUCCGCUCCGCGCCCUGCCCUGCCCUGCCCUGCCCGCCGGGCUGACCCGGCCCUCCCGCGGGGCGCCCCUCAGCGCCUCCCGCCGGGUGCGCGAGCGGGCUGA
rnacentral:lncRNA from 1 species